UACGGAGGGUGCAAGCGUUAUCCGGAAUCACUGGGUUUAAAGGGUGCGUAGGCGGCUUUGUAAGUCAGGGGUGAAAGCCUGCAGCUUAACCGCGGAAUUGCUUUUGAUACUGCAGAGCUGGAAAGAGGUUGAGGUCAGCGGAAUGUGACAUGUAGCGGUGAAAUGCAUAGAUAUGCCACAGAACACCGAUUGCGAAGGCAGCUGGCUGGGCCUGAAUUGACGCUGAGGCACGAAAGCGUGGGGAGCAAACAUG
rnacentral:rRNA from 1 species